rnacentral:rRNA from 1 species
GCCAUGCAUGUCUAAGUAUAAACAUCUUUAUACAGUGAAACUGCGUACAGCUCAUUAUAUCAGUUAUUAUUUAUUUGAUGGUACCUUACUACAUGGAUACCCGUAGUAAUUCUAGAGCUAAUACAUGCGUCAAGUCCCGACUUUUUGGAAGGGAUGUAUUUAUUAGAUAAAAAACCAAUGCAGGUAACUGCUCUCUUGGUGAUUCAUAGUAACUUUUACGGAUCGCACGGCUUCACGUCGGCGACAGUUCAUUCAAAUUUCUGCCCUAUCAGCUUUCGACGGUACUGUAGUGGACUACCGUGGCAUUAACGGGUGACGGAGAAUUAGGGUUCGAUUCCGGAGAGGGAGCCUGAUAAACGGCUACCACAUCCAAGGAAGGCAGCAGGCGCGCAAAUUACCCAAUCAUGACACAGGGAGGUAGUGACAAAAAAUAACAAUACCGGGCCUUUUUAGGUAUGGUAAUUGGAAUGAGUACAAUUUAA